rnacentral:tRNA from 1 species
GCGUCUGUAGCCUAGUUGGUAAAGGCAGCACUCUAGUACUGAGUUUGUGAGUUUGACUCUCACCAGACACA